AGCAACCACAGCUUCACUUGGCAACAGCCGGCCCCCUGUCCCCCCACCCCCGGUAACACUCUGCACCUGCUGCUGCUAGAGACGGAAAAUGAUGGACGGAGGUGUGACGGAAUAUUUCCCCCCUAAACUGGUUUAUAAGACUCCGCAGCAGAGUUAGUGUUAACGUUACUGUGUCGAUGCUGGUGGACAUUUUCUGUCGGGACUAUUAACGAUUAACGCACGUGACGGGGCGAAGAGGAACAGAGCCUUGCUGAGGAGAAACAGGAGGAAGAGACUGAGGAAUCUAAGGAACCAGAGCCAAAGGAGGAAGCAGAGCCACAGCAGACUUCCCCCUCUCCACCUCCAAGUCCUGAACCAGUUAAGACCUCUGAGCCUG